ensembl:processed_transcript
CACAACACUGAGAUGAAGGCAAAGUCACCAUGAAAAGUUAAACGUUUAACGUUAAGGUAAGCUCUGGUCUUCAUGUGGUCAUUAUGACUAAGUUAUCAUUAUGGUUAAAUUUGUAAACUGUAAGUUAGUUAUUCACUAAACUCACUAAUGAAACAAGUCUAACUGUUUUAUUAAAUUGAGCUGAUAAUAAAAUUCAGUUUAUGUCUUUUAAGCUAACGUUAAUAUUAACAUAAUUCAUAUUAAUUGUCUAUUUCUCACUGGUUAAUGAGCUUAUUGUAUAACGUUAGUGUGUCAUUAAUUGUACAUUUUAUUUUUGGUGUUCAGGUGUAGGGAAUGAUUUGUAUACAAAUUUAUUUGAACCCCAUACAGAUUUGUAUGGUUGUACCAUAGAUUUAGAUUAUUAAAUGUUAAGUAUUAUUUUACUCUUAUUAUAUUUAUCUUUUUUGCAGCCACAGCAAUUGAUGUUGAAAAAGUGAUGCUACCAAUCUCUCCUCUCUUGAUUAUUCAAGCUCAGAUUGUGAUAGACCUGGAAUGUGACACCAGAUACUCUUAAGUCAAGAACCAAAUAAAGCACAGAUGUGGAGGGAUCUGCAACUAAACUAACUGGAGGAAAGGAACCUUUAGUGUGGGUGAACAUACUACCUUGAUGUCCAGCAAAGGCUGCACAAGAGCUCAUUUGAUGGCACAUAUUCUGUCCUGUCUACAUCUCUGACGACCUGGAAGUGCUUCGACAUUAGAUCAUCAGAAGUGCUGCUGCCCUUUUUCACUGUCCCUUUUCCACAACAUCAUUUGACCUUCAUCAUUUCCUGUCUUGUAGCAGUAUUUUCACCUGUUUUUAAAAUUGUAAUACUUUUUGAUGCAUUUAUUGUUGACUGGUUUUAAUGAUCAAUUGUUCAUUAGUGUUCUGUUGCUUUGUUAUAUUGAAUAAUUGCUACUGUUUCAGUAGGGUUUACACAAUAAACUUUUAUUGUGAAGUUAAA